AUCGAACGCUGGCGGCAGGCCUAACACAUGCAAGUCGAGCGGGGCGGCGGACGGGUGAGUAAGGCCUAGGAAUCUGCCUGGUAUUGGGGGAUAACGUCCGGAAACGGGCGCUAAUCCCGCAUACUAUCAGCUUAGCCUAGGUCGGAUUAGCUAGUUGGUGGGGUAAAGGCCUACCAAGGCGACGAUCCGUAACUGGUCUGAGAGGAUGAUCAGUCACACUGGGACUGAGACACGGUCCAGACUCCUACGGGAGGCAGCAGUGGGGAAUAUUGGCAAAUGGGGGAAAGCCUGAUCCAGCCAUGCCGCGUGUGUGAAGAAGGUCUUCGGAUUGUAAAGCACUUUAAGUUGGGAGGCGUUACCAACAGAAUAAGCACCGGCUAACUUCGUGCCAGCAGCCGCGGUAAUUC
rnacentral:rRNA from 1 species